CUGCCGAUGUAGCUCUGGACCCUGGAAGGCGCGAAGGAUGCGCUGGGCGACGCGGUCAUCAUCGACCGCCUCGACAGCCGCACGUUCGAGCGCACGGACACGAAGCUGUUUGCGGUCUGGGUGUGGGUGUGGCAGUUGCACCACAUCCCCACCAAGUGUACCCUCUGGAAGCAUGCCCGCGGUGCCAGCCGGGUGGAGGAGAUGCUCGGCUUCUCGCCCCCUAGCCGGGCCGUCGCGCCACCGCCGAACCUGCUGCGCUGGGAUGUGCUAGUGCACAUUGACCUGGUCGAGGACUGGGCGCCCCUGUCCCCGCGCUCCUCCAACUCCGGGCAGAGUGGCCUCCCGUCCUCCGACGACGACGACCGCCCGUACCCACGCUUCCCACACGCGGGGGGCUGGGUGGCCGGUGUGGAGGAUGGCAGGCCGGCGCUGGACAUGGGGCCGCGUCUGUGCCCGCCCGCGCAAGUCGCGUCCUCUUGCUCCAAGGGCAUGCCUUCGGUGGGCCACCGGCGCGGCCACGACGGCGACGGCGAUGGCGGCCAGAGGAGGUCUUGGAAGGACACGCUCCUCGGGCGUGGCCGCGGCAAGGAGCCGGCCGCCCCCGCCCCCGCUCCUGAGCGCCGUCGUAGCCGCACCCCAUCCUCGCGCCGCGACCGCGGCCCCUACAAUGAAAGACGCUCCGACCACGACCACAGGGGGCGCCGCUCUGGGGGAGGGGCGGGGCCAAGCCGCUCCCGUGCUGCGUCCUCAUCGCGCGCGCUGGCUGCCCCCUCCAACCCUCUGCUUGCGCCCCCCCAAGCCCCUGCUUCUGGCGUCAGCCAGCGCGCAGGUCAAUGA
rnacentral:rRNA from 1 species